rnacentral:rRNA from 1 species
AAGUCCCGCAACGAGCGCAACCCUGCAUCCAGUUGCCAUCGGGCGAGCCGGGCGACUCUGGAGGGACUGCCGGCGACAAGCCGGAGGAAGGUGGGGAUGACGUCAAGUCAUCAUGGCCCUUAUGUCCAGGGCGACACACGUGCUACAAUGGCCGGCACAGCGGGAAGCGGAGGGGCGACCCUGAGCGGAUCCCUUGAAAGCCGGUCCCAGUUCGGAUUGCAGUCUGCAACUCGACCGCAUGAAGUUGGAAUCGCUAGUAAUCGCGGAUCAGCCAAGCCGCGGUGAAUACGUUCCCGGGCCUU